rnacentral:rRNA from 1 species
CCUAUAAGACUGGGAUAACUUCGGGAAACCGGGGCUAAUGCCGGAUAAUAUUUAGAACCGCAUGGUUCUAAAGUGAAAGAUGGUUUUGCUAUCACUUAUAGAUGGACCCGCGCCGUAUUAGCUAGUUGGUGGGGUAAUGGCUUACCAAGGCAACGAUACGUAGCCGACCUGAGAGGGUGAUCGGCCACACUGGAACUGAGACACGGUCCAGACUCCUACGGGAGGCAGCAGUAGGGAAUCUUCCGCAAUGGGCGAAAGCCUGACGGAGCAACGCCGCGUGAGUGAUGAAGGGUUUCGGCUCGUAAAACUCUGUUAUUAGGGAAGAACAAAUGUGUAAGUAACUGUGCACAUCUUGACGGUACCUAAUCAGAAAGCCACGGCUAACUACGUGCCAGCAGCCGCGGUAAUACGUAGGUGGCAAGCGUUAUCCGGAAUUGUUGGGCGUAAAGCGCGCGUAGGCGGUUUCUUAAGUCUGAUGUGAAAGCCCACGGCUCAACCGUGGAGGGUCAUUGGAAACUGGGAAACUUGAGUGCAGAAGAGGAAAGUGGAAUUCCAUGUGUAGCGGUGAAAUGCGCAGAGAUAUGGAGGAACACCAGUGGCGAAGGCGACUUUCUGGUCUGUAACUGACGCUGAUGUGCGAAAGCGUGGGGAUCAAACAGGAUUAGAUACCCUGGUAGUCCACGCCGUAAACGAUGAGUGCUAAGUGUUAGGGGGUUUCCGCCCCUUAGUGCUGCAGCUAACGCAUUAAGCACUCCGCCUGGGGAGUACGACCGCAAGGUUGAAACUCAAA